AGAAUCAACGCUGGCGGCGUGCCUAACACAUGCAAGUCGAUCGAGAAAGUGGAGCAAUCCAUGAGUAAAGAGGCGCACGGGUGAGUAACACGUGACUAACCUACCUUCGAGUGGGGAAUAACCUGGGGAAACCCGGGCUAAUACCGCAUAAUACCUUCGGGUCAAAGGAGCAAUUCGCUUAAGGAGGGGGUCGCGGCCGAUUAGUUAGUUGGCGGGGUAAUGGCCCACCAAGACUGUGAUCGGUAU
rnacentral:rRNA from 1 species